UACGGAGGGUGCAAGCGUUAUCCGGAUUCACUGGGUUUAAAGGGUGCGUAGGUGGGUCUGUAAGUCAGUGGUGAAAUCUCCGUGCUUAACAUGGAAACUGCCAUUGAUACUAUAGGUCUUGAAUUUUCUGGAGGUCAGCGGAAUAUGUCAUGUAGCGGUGAAAUGCUUAGAUAUGACAUAGAACACCCAUUGCGAAGGCAGCUAACUACGCGAUAAUUGACGCUGAUGCACGAAAGCGUGGGGAUCAAACAGG
rnacentral:rRNA from 1 species